AAUAUUUAAAAAUUUGCGCGUAGAGAGAGAAAGAGCUAAAAAGGGUGAGAGAGUAUCUGUAAAGGGAUGUGGAUGAGAGGCCUUUUCUUAUGUUUGUUUAUAUAUAUAAAUCGCAUUCCCCCCUUCUCCUUCUUCUUCCUUUCUCCUUCCUUCUCGUAGUUUCAAAACAUUGUUAUUUCCAGUUAUGCCCUUUUCUUGUUACGGGAUUGGUUAACCUAACUAGGCUAAUCUAUUCAUUUUCUUAUGCAUUGGUCACUCGUUAUGUAAGCACGCAAGACUGUUUUACUUGCUUCCGUGGAAAUUUCAACUGGAUUUGAUUUCCUCCCCUAUUAUUUUGAGGAUUGCUAAUCACACUAACCAAUCAUCGUAUUGUUGUGGCUAGAGAGAAAGAGACAUAUAUCAGAUUGUAUUUAACAGAGAAAUGUCAACUUUGGCACCGACGUUUUAGGAGUAAUAAUAGUUGAGUGAGAGCGCGCACAACAACAAGGUUGUCUUUGGGAUACCAGUCUCUUGAAGUACCUCCAGGGUUGCGAAUGCGCAUGCGACUCCUUGAUUGGGUCGCAUACCGUAUAGAGUAAUGCGUUUCGUCGAGGGAGAAUGUAAUGUUGAAUAUACAUUUGUGGACAUACUCUGUCAAGCCACAUAGUUUGCUUUCUGAUUUUGAAUAUGAAAAUGUCAGUAAUUCACGAUUUAUGUAGGAAAUUUAUGAUGUAUAAUAAGUCUACUAUCACGUUGUC